rnacentral:rRNA from 1 species
CCUACGGGAGGCAGCAGUGGGGAAUAUUGGACAAUGGGCGAAAGCCUGAUCCAGCAAUUCCGCGUGUGUGAAGAAGGCCUUCGGGUUGUAAAGCACUUUAGUGGGGGAAGAAACAGCUUGGCCACACCAAGCCUUGACGGUACCCCAAGAAUAAGCACCGGCUAACUCUGUGCCAGCAGCCGCGGUAAUACAGAGGGUGCAAGCGUUAAUCGGAUUUACUGGGCGUAAAGGGUGCGUAGGUGGCUAUUUAAGUCGGAUGUGAAAGCCCGGGGCUCAACCUCGGAAUUGCAUUCGAUACUGAGUGGCUAGAGUUCGGUAGAGGGCGGCGGAAUUUCCGGUGUAGCGGUGAAAUGCGUAGAUAUCGGAAGGAACAUCAAUGGCGAAGGCAGCCGCCUGGGCCUGGACUGACACUGAGGCACGAAAGCGUGGGUAGCAAACAGGAUUAGAUACCCUGGUAGUCCACGCCGUAAACGAUGAGAACUUGACGUUGGUUCGUUUUACGAAUCGGUGUCGCNNNGCGCGAUAGUUACUCCGUCCGCGGAGGUACGGCCGCGACGUAGUAACGUACGAAGAAGUAGUACGCGNGAGACGUGCCGACGACGACGACGAGGGAGGAGG